rnacentral:rRNA from 1 species
GAUGAACGCUGGCGGCGUGCCUAAUACAUGCAAGUCGAGCGAACGGACGAGAAGCUUGCUUCUCUGAUGUUAGCGGCGGACGGGUGAGUAACACGUGGAUAACCUACCUAUAAGACUGGGAUAACUUCGGGAAACCGGAGCUAAUACCGGAUGAUAUUUUGAACCGCAUGGUUCAAAAGUGAAAGACGGUCUUGCUGUCACUUAUAGAUGGAUCCGCGCUGCAUUAGCUAGUUGGCAAGGUAACGGCUUACCAAGGCAACGAUGCAUAGCCGGCCUGAGAGGGUGAUCGGCCACACUGGAACUGAGACACGGUCCAGACUCCUACGGGAGGCAGCAGUAGGGAAUCUUCCGCAAUGGGCGAAAGCCUGACGGAGCAACGCCGCGUGAGUGAUGAAGGUCUUCGGAUCGUAAAACUCUGUUAUUAGGGAAGAACAUAUGUGUAAGUAACUGUGCACAUCUUGACGGUACCUAAUCAGAAAGCCACGGCUAACUACGUG